rnacentral:lncRNA from 10 species
GACGGAGUCUUGCUCUGUCACCCAGGCUGGAGUGCAGUGGCGCGAUCUCAGCUCACUGCAAGCUCCGCUUCCCAGGUUCACGCCAUUCUCCUGCCUCAGCCUCCCGAGUAGCUGGGACUACAGGCGCCAGCCACCACGCCUGGCUAAUUUUUUUGUAUUUUUAGUAGAGACGGGGUUUCACCAUGUUAGCCAGUUUGGCCCCAAUCUCCUGACCUCGUCAUCUGCCCACCUCGGCCUCCCAAAGUGCUGGGAUUACAGGCCUGAGCCACCGCGCCCGGCCAGGAUAUUCUCAUAUUUCAAAACCCAUUUAACUGUGCUGUUGAGGAGCCUCUACAUAACCUUUGAGGGGAAAUGAUUAAUCUGCAGUGUAGUAAUGUGUUAAAAGGCAAAUAUCAAAGAAAGAAUAUAAUAAAAUUCUAUAAAUGCCCUCAAGCAAUGAAUAUAGACAAUUAAAAUCUUAUGCUAGGAUUGAUAUCAGUGUCCAGCAGUAUCUUGUGUGAAAAACACAUUUCCUUGUUUUGUAAGUACCUAUAUAAUACCUUAAUUUGCCUGUUAGUCUACAAAGCCUAUAAAUAUUUACUAUCUUGUUCUUUGCAGAAAAUAGAAAAGCACCUCCUCUAGAGGGCUGUAGGUGUCUGAAAGUUGCAGAAAAAUGUCAUUAAAAGUUGUGUUGAAGGCUGGCCACAGUGGCUGAUGCCUGCAAUCCUAGCAGUUUGGGCCGCCGAAACAGGCAGAUCACUUGCACCCAGGGGUUCAAGACCAGCCCGGGCAACAUAAUGAAACUCCAUCUCUACAAAAAGUACAAAAAUUAACCAGGAGUGGUGGCUCAUGCCUGUAGUCCCAGCUACUCGAGAGGUUGAGGUGGGAGGAUCUCUUAAGCCCAUGAGAUCAAGGCUGCAGUGAGCUGUGAUUGUACCACUGUCUUCCAGCCUGCAUGACAGAGCGAGAUCCCGUCUCAAAAAAAAAAAAAAAAAGUGACAUUGAAGGAUUGCUUGCUAGGGAAAGUUUGGUUAAGUAUGAAGUCUAAUUAUUCCAAUUUAGCAAACAAAACCUUAUCUGCAGUCAUGUUACUUUAAUCAAAAAUAAAAGUGCACCUGAAGCUACAUCUUUCUACUACUAUAAACCUAACAUGAGCAAUUUAGUUUCAGCAAACAACACCAUCUGUCUCAUCUGUGCUGCCAAUUUUAAUUUUUAUUAGUUUUAUAGUUUUGUUUGUAUUUCAUUUGUACAUUUUGUAUUGGAUUCAGACACCAAUAACACUAAGGAAUUUAAUAUUAUAUUUGCUCAUAUGUAUGUAACAUUAUAUUUAAAAUAGCCUUUAUUUAUUUUUGUCGAGAUGUGGUUUCACUAUAUUGCCUGGGCUGGUCUCAAACUCCCCAGCUAAAGCAACCCUCCUGCCUCCACCUCCCAACGUGCUGAGAUUUCAGGUGUGAGCUACUGCACCUGGCCAAAAAAUAGUCUUAAGUCACAACUCUAAGGUGGACAUUUAUUUUUCCUUAUAAGCAUCCAGUUAAAUAUUCGAAUUUGAAUGGGAAUGAUACGAGAAGAUUAGCAUGGCCCCUGGGCAAGGAUGACAUGCAAAUUCAUGAAGAGUUCCAUAUUUUAAUAAAAUCUUGAGAUGACAUUCACCUUAAAAAUCCAUCCAUCAAUCAAUACUUGAUUUUGAGAAAACAUUGCCUGAAGUUGAACAUCCCCCCAAGAUCACAGCAAUUGUCUCAAUCAGGUGUUAGAUGUGAACAUGAAUGCGAAGCCCUGAAUCUUCCCAGAUGUAUUUUCAUUUACUGAAAAGGAACCUUACGAAUACACAUAAACCUGUUACUUUGAGAAGUGUGAAAAAGCUAAGUGCAGUACUUCUCACCAAAUGGUCAUGGAAAUGGCAGAAUGUCAGGAAGAGGCUCUAUUAGGCAGAAUUGACCUUGACAGCAGUCUGGGCUUACCUCUUCAGAUGCAGCAGUUCUCAGACUGAACGUGCACAGAAUUACCUAGAGAGCUUGUUUAACAGGUUCUCAAACUUCUCUUCCAAAGAUUUUCACCCGGCAGUUCUAGAAUGAGACCCAGGGAUAUGUAUUUAUAGUAAACAUCUCAGAAGAUUCUGACUCUGAGGAUACAUGGACCACCAUAUUUUGAGAAAAAUGCCCUCAUGACUCCUGAUUUUCAUGGCUUCAUUCUGUCCUUCACUUUAUUAUUUAUUUAUUUAUUGAGACGGAGUCUCAUUCUAUUGCCCAGGCUGGAGUGCAGUGGUGCGAUCUUGACUCACUGCAACCUCUGACCUCCAGGUUCAAGUGAUUCUCCUGCCUCAGCCUCCCAGGUAGCUGGGAUUACAGGAGCCCACCACCACAUCCGACUACUUCUUUUUUUUUUUUUUUUUUUGAGAUGGAGUCUCACUCUGUCACCGAGGCUGGAGUGCAGUGGCACGAUCUUAGCUCACUGCAAGCUCUGCCUCCCGGGUUCACGCCACUCUCCUGCCUCAGCCUCCCCAGCAGCUGGGACUACAGGCACCCGCCACCAUGCCCAGCUAAUUUUUUGUAUUUUUAGUAGAGACGGGGUUUCACCAUGUUAGCCAGGAAGGUCUCGAUCUCCUGACCUUGUGAUGCACCUGCCUCGGCCUCCCAAAGUGCUGGGAUUACAGGCGUGAGCCACCGCACCCGGCCACACCCGGCUAAUUUUUGUAUUUUUAGUAGAGACAGGGUUUCACCAUGUUGGCCAGGCUGGUCUCAAACUCCUGACCUCAAGCAGUCUGCCUCCCUCAGUCUCCCAAAGUGCUGGGAUUACAGGUGUGAGACACUGCACUCCGUCUCACUUUAGAUCCCAGAUCUUUUUCAAAGCUGCGAGGUUAUUUUUUUCUGCAAGGACUCCCUACUGUACAAGGUGAAGCAGGAAGAGGUCAGCCAUUCUAUCUUGCUAUUCUCUUCAUCAUUGUCAUAAAUCCUAAACCACACUUUCUGCAGAACAUUCCAGAAUAUAGCAGUAUCUUGGGCUAUUUUGUUUGUAACUAACUAGAAGUAAUUUUCUUGCUUUCAGGUUUAAAAAUUCAAAUACCCCAAAUAAGUCAACUUGCAGUUAAGAAAUAAAAUGUGACCAAGACUCAUUCUCUAUCAUUCUAGUUAUUUUUUUAAGGUCUUAAACAACAUAAACAAUCUACACAGUUUUCCAUUUAGGGAUUUUCUGUAAUCUCCACUGAAGUUUUAUACAUACACAAAAAAGCCCUUGCUUCAUUGCUUGCAAAACAGAUUAGUCCAGCCCAUGCUUAGUGGUUAAUAUUAAUAUAAAACCUCUACAACUCAACAUUAGUCUCAAUAUAAGGCAUCAAAAACCUAGUGUUGGCAGGGAGCAGUGCCUCACACCUGUAACCUCAGCACUUUGGGAGGCCUAGACAGGUGGAUUGCUUGAGUUCAGGAGUUCGAGACCAGCCUGGGCAACAUGUUAAUACCUGCCUCCCUCAUCUCUACUAAAUUUCAAAAAAAUUAGCCAGGAGUGGUGGCAUGCACCUGUUGGGGUUGAGGUGGGAGAAUCACUUGAGCCUGCGAGGCGGAGGUUGCAGUGAGCCUAGAUCAUGCCACUGCACUCUAGCCUGGGCAACAGAGUGAGACCCUAUCACUGAACCAAACAAAACAAACCUAGUGUCACUAAAAAAGACUUUUAAAAAGUGUAAAAUUCAGGCCACUUCCUAAGCAAACAUUGCUGAGGAAACCAAAGUGUUAGUUUGAUUUUCUUUUUCUUUUUUAGAGACAACGUCUCACUGUGUUGCUCAGGCUGGAGUGUGGUGGCAUGAGCACGGCUCACUGCAGCGUCAGCCUCCUGGGAUCAAGUGAUCCUCUGGCCUUGGCCUCCCGAAGUGCUGGGAUUACAGGUUUGAGCCACACUGCACCCAGCCCUAGUCUGAUUUUCUUUUCUUUUCUUUCUUUCUUUUUUUUGAGAGGGAGUUUCACUCUUGUUGCCCAGGCUGGAGUGCAAUGGAAUGAUGACCUUGGCUCACUGCAACCUCCUCCUCCCAGGUUCAAGCAAUUCUCCUGCCUCAGCGUCCCAAGUAGGUGGGAUUACAGGCAUGCACGACCAUGCCCAGCUAAUUUUUUUGUAUUUUUUGUAGAGAUGGGGUUUCGCUGUGUUAGCCAGGCUGGUCUUGAACUCCUGACCUCAGGUGAUCUGCCCAACUCGGCCUCCCAAAGUGCUGGGAUUACAGGCGUGAGCCACCGCGCCCGGCCCCUAGUCUGAUUUUCAGUGGGUGUGUUCCUCCACUGCCAGUCCCCACAACCUACUGCCUGUUAAAACACAAAGCAUUUAUUAGACACAAAAGGUUUUUCUAGGAAGGGAAAUAAUUUUUAGCACUGGGAAAUGACAGGGUCAAGGCUCACCUGGUAGCAAAAAGCUCUGGGGCGAUGACUUCUAGUCCCAGUUCAGCUCUUGAUGUUGUGACCGGAGGGGACAGGUUCACUGCACGAUUUCCUGGCUGUGAACCUAGAAGAGCAAGGACCUUGCUUUUCCAAGGAACCCCAAGUGUUGCACAUAAAGUGAUGGUGAAAUAACAGCCUUGCUGUUUGUGACAGUUCCUGCACCCCUUCCGAUGGCUCUGCCAUUCGGAUUAUUCACCACUUGUUUAUUCUCAAUUUCUUUCUCUAUUUUUCUUUUUUUUUUCAUUUAUUUAUUCUUUUCUUUCUUUCUUUCUUUUCUUUUCUUUUUUUUUUUUUUUUGAGAUGGAGUCUUGCUCUGUCACCCAGGCUGGAGUGCAGUG